rnacentral:rRNA from 1 species
UACGUAGGGGGCAAGCGUUAUCCGGAUUUACUGGGUGUAAAGGGAGCGUAGACGGCAGGGCAAGUCUGGAGUGAAAGGCAGGGGCCCAACCCCUGGACUGCUCUGGAAACUGUCCGGCUGGAGUGCAGGAGAGGUAAGUGGAAUUCCUAGUGUAGCGGUGAAAUGCGUAGAUAUUAGGAGGAACACCAGUGGCGAAGGCGGCUUACUGGACUGUAACUGACGUUGAGGCUCGAAAGCGUGGGAAGCAAACAGG